rnacentral:rRNA from 1 species
AGACGCACUCUGCCAGCCGCCGCGGUGAUACGAAGGGUGCAAGCGUUACUCGGAAUUACUGGGCGUAAAGCGUGCGUAGGUGGUGGUUUAAGUCUGUUGUGAAAGCCCUGGGCUCAACCUGGGAAUUGCAGUGGAUACUGGGUCACUAGAGUGUGGUAGAGGGUAGCGGAAUUCCCGGUGUAGCAGUGAAAUGCGUAGAGAUCGGGAGGAACAUCCGUGGCGAAGGCGGCUACCUGGACCAACACUGACACUGAGGCACGAAAGCGUGGGGAGCAAACAGGAUUAGAUACCCUGGUAGUCCACGCCCUAAACGAUGCGAACUGGAUGUUGGGUGCAAUUUGGCACGCAGUAUCGAAGCUAACGCGUUAAGUUCGCCGCCUGGGGAGUACGGUCGCAAGACUGAAACUCAAAGGAAUUGGCGGG